CCUACGGGAGGCAGCAGUAGGGAAUAUUGCACAAUGGGGGAAACCCUGAAGCAGCAACGCCGCGUGAAGGAUGAAGGUUUUCGGAUUGUAAACUCCUUUUGUUAGAGAAGAUAAUGACGGUAUCUGACGAAUAAGCCCCGGCUAACUCCGUGCCAGCAGCCGCGGUAAUACGGAGGGUGCAAGCGUUACUCGGAUUCACUGGGCGUAAAGAGCGCGUAGGCGGGAUAGCAAGUCAGAUGUGAAAUCCAAUGGCUUAACCAUAGAACUGCAUUUGAAACUGUUAUUCUAGAGUAUGGGAGAGGUAGGUGGAAUUCUUGGUGUAGGGGUAAAAUCCGUAGAGAUCAAGAGGAAUACUCAUGGCGAAGGCGACCUGCUAGAACAUAACUGACGCUGAUGCGCGAAAGCGUGGGGAGCAAACAGGAUUAGAUACCCGGGUAGUC
rnacentral:rRNA from 1 species